GACGAACGCUGGCGGCGUGCUUAACACAUGCAAGUCGAACGGAAAGGCCCUGCUUUUGUGGGGUGCUCGAGUGGCGAACGGGUGAGUAACACGUGAGUAACCUGCCCUUGACUUUGGGAUAACUUCAGGAAACUGGGGCUAAUACCGGAUAGGAGCUCCUGCUGCAUGGUGGGGGUUGGAAAGUUUCGGCGGUUGGGGAUGGACGCGCGGCUUAUCAGCUUGUUGGUGGGGUAGUGGCUUACCAAGGCUGUGACGGGUAGCCGGCCUGAGAGGGUGACCGGCCACAAUGGGACUGCGAUACGGCCCAGACUCCUACGUGAGGCAGCAGUGGGGAAUCUUGCACAAUGGGCGGAAGCCUGAUGCAGCAACGCCGCGUGCGGGAUGACGGCCUUCGGGUUGUAAACCGCUUUCGCCUGUGACGAAGCGUGAGUGACGGUAAUGGGUAAAGAAGCACCGGCUAACUACGUG
rnacentral:rRNA from 1 species